rnacentral:ncRNA from 1 species
CGGAUAGAGGUGCGGUGCUGCGUGUAACAUAGCUGAGGCUGCCAAAGCUUAUGAAACUGUGUGAAUGGCUGUUCCGCCGAGGGAUGCGCUUUGGCAGGGCUUGUCCCGGGUAUAUGCCGCAACGGUAUAUAACUGUCAUCAUAAUGCUGUGAUGGGGAGCUAUCG